ACACCCAGAGCUGGGGGGUCCAGCCUAUCCCCACAGGGCCCCCCAGGCUCCAGCCAGUCUCCAGCCCACGGAGCAAAGGGCCACGGAGCCCCUGGCUGUUUGCUCCCCUAGUGACAUCCCCUCGCCCUGCAAUGCAACACGCGGGUGACGCUGGCAGUGCCCAGACACAGCCAGAUGCCCAAGAAAGUGCAGGGACCAGACGGACUCUGCCUGCUGAGGCGCCUGCACUGGAGAGGCCCGGAGCAAACUCCCCAGCUCUGGGAGUCGGCCUGGAGCCCAGCUGGCCCAGCGGCUGCUGAGCCCAGACUGUGGGUGUCUCUGGGUUUUAUUAUCCAGGCAGGGCGGGUGAGGCCAAAGUUUCUAUUGAACCAACAUCUGCUGGGGAGAGAGAUGCUUUCCAGCCACAUGGCUCUGCUGUCCUACACCUCUGCAAGCAACAUUUUUAAUAAGUCAUACUGUGGUAGCGAGGGCCUGAAGAGGAAAGAGCCAUUGCUCGCCUUUGCCAAAUGACAGGCUGACCAACCACAAAGGUGGGAUUCAACCCACCCAUACCAAAUACAAAUAUUCAGCCUUAAUUCCUCAGCUGCCGCUAUCCCAAUGGGGCAUCUUUCACACAGUGACACUUAGUCACCCAAGAGUAGGCACCCACAUCAACCUACAGAAGGAAAAAAAUAGAGCUGGCCUAGAGGGAUACAGAUCCCAGAACCACAUCAUGCAAGACAGCUGAGCAGCGGGAGCAGCAGCGGAGGAGCAGAGGAGCCAACCCGCCCAGCACAUGCAUGCAGAAGAAUCUUUUAUCCAAGGCGAGACCUGGUUGCUUCACAGCUUGUUGCUACGAGGUGUGCCAGCCAAACGCCAGCCUUCAUUCCAACACUCUUAGGUACGCUACUCACUUUACUUAACAUUGUUUGUUCAAUCUUUAAUUUACGCCAUUAUCCUAAGUUGUUUACCACUUUUGUGGUUAGCACUUUCGUAAA